ensembl:lncRNA
GGGGGAGAUUGAUGGAUGGAGAAGGGGAGAUUGAUGGAUGGAGAGGGGGAGAGUGGGGGAUGGAGAGAGAAAUGAAAACAGAGAGGGAGAGAGAGGUAGGGUGAGAGAUGGAGAGAGAGAGAGAGAGAGAGAGAAAAAAAUCAGAGAGGGGAGAGAGAGGAGGAGGUGUGUUAUGUGCCCAGACAAUGUUGUUUCUGCAAUACAUAAUAUAUAUGUUUAUGCAGUAUCAUUGUUUACACUCAUACUACCCUGGAAUUCAGAAUACUGGAAUCACCUGCCUGAGAGUGAUUUACAGUAUACUGUAGCUAACACAGCUACAGCCUCCUGUUUCUACAGUAUACUGUAGCUAACACAGCUACAGCCUCCUGUUUCUACAGUAUACUGUAGCUAACACAGCUACAGCCUCCUGUUUCUACAGUAUACUGUAGCUAACACAGCUACAGCCUCCUGUUUCUACAGUAUACUGUAGCUAACACAGCUACAGCCUCCUGUUUCUACAGUAUACUGUAGCUAACACAGCUACAGCCUCCUGUUUCUAGAGUACCCACGUCCAUUCAGCUACAGCCUCCUGUAUUCUACAGUACCCACGUCCAUUCAGCUACAGCCUCCUGUAUUCUAGAGUACCCACGUCCAUUCAGCUACAGCCUCCUGUAUUCUAGAGUACCCACGUCCAUUCAGCUACAGCCUCCUGUUUCUACAGUACCCACAUCCAUUCAGCUACAGCCUCCUGUAUUCUACAGUGUCCAUUCAGCUACAGCCUCCUGUAUUCUACAGUACCCAUGUCCAUUCAGCUACAGCCUCCUGUAUUCUACAGUACCCACGUCCAUUCAGCUACAGCCUCCUGUUUCUACAGUACAGUCCAUUCAGCUACAGCCUCCUGUAAUUCUAGUACCCACGUCCAUUCAGCUACAGCCUCCUGUUUCUACAGUACCCACGUCCAUUCAGCUACAGCCUCCUGUAUUCUACAGUACCCACGUCCAUUCAGCUACAGCCUCCUGUAUUCUACAGUACCCACGUCCAUUCAGCUACAGCCUCCUGUAUUCUACAGUACCCACGUCCAUUCAGCUACAGCCUCCUGUAUUCUACAGUACCCACGUCCAUUCAGCUACAGCCUCCUGGAUUCUACAGUACCCACGUCCAUUCAGCUACAGCCUCCUGUAUUCUAAAGUACCCACGUCCAUUCAGCUACAGCCUCCUGUAUUCUACAGUACCCACGUCCAUUCAGCUACAGCCUCCUGUAUUCUAGAGUACCCACGUCCAUUCAGCUACAGCCUCCUGUAUUCUACAGUAUACUGUAGGUAACACAGCUACAGCCUCCUGUAUUCUACAUACCCACGUCCAUUCAGCUACAGCCUCCUGUAUUCUAGAGUACCCACAUCCAUUCAGCUACAGCCUCCUGUAUUCUACAGUACCCACGUCCAUUCAGCUACAGCCUCCUGUAUUCUACAGUACCCACGUCCAUUCAGCUACAGCCUCCUGUAUUCUAGAGUACCCACGUCCAUUCAGCUACAGCCUCCUGUAUUCUACAGUACCCAGAUCCAUUCAGCUACAGCCUCCUGUAUUCUACAGUACCCACGUCCAUUCAGCUACAGCCUCCUGUAUUCUACAGUACCCACGUCCAUUCAGCUACAGCCUCCUGUAUUCUACAGUACCCACGUCCAUUCAGCUACAGCCUCCUGUAUUCUAGAGUACCCACGUCCAUUCAGCUACAGCCUCCUGUAUUCUACAGUACCCACGUCCAUUCAGCUACAGCCUCCUGUAUUCUACAGUACCCACGUCCAUUCAGCUACAGCCUCCUGUAUUCUACAGUACCCACGUCCAUUCAGCUACAGCCUCCUGUAUUCUACAGUACCCACGUCCAUUCAGCUACAGCCUCCUGUAUUCUACAGUACCCACGUCCAUUCAGCUACAGCCUCCUGUAUUCUAGAGUACCCACGUCCAUUCAGCUACAGCCUCCUGUAUUCUACAGUACCCAUGUCCAUUCAGCUACAGCCUCCUGUAUUCUAGAGUACCCACGUCCAUUCAGCUACAGCCUCCUGUAUUCUAGAGUACCCACGUCCAUUCAGCUACAGCCUCCUGUAUUCUACCGAGGGUCGAGUGUCUGUCUGUUUUUGUUUUUCCCCAAUUCAAUUAAAACCUAGACAACCAGAUGAAGGGAGAUCCUAAUUAAUUAGUGACCUUAAUUCCUCCAGCAAGAACGAGGGUUGGAGCGAAAACCUGCAGACACUCUGUCCUCCGUGCAAUGAGUUCGUGGUCUGUUUGCUACUGUGUGAAAUCCUGCAAUGUGGCUUUGCUUGAAUUCCUCCCCGUUUCUCCAUCCCUCAAAAGAUGGCAGACUUUUUAAAAACUCUGUAUGAAUACUGUCAGAGCCGUAGUCUAGCCGGUGUAUGGCUUAUGAACCUCUCUCUAUAACACGGGCUGAAUACUGUCAGAGCCGUAGUCUAGCCGGUGUAUGGCUUAUGAACCUCUCUCUAUAACACGGGCUGAAUACUGUCAGAGCCGUAGUCUAGCCGGUGUAUGGCUUAUGAACCUCUCUCUAUAACACGGGCUGAAUACUGUCAGAGCCGUAGUCUAGCCGGUGUAUGGCUUAUGAACCUCUCUCUAUAACACGGGCAUAGGCCUGUAAUAUAUUCAGACGCUGCAUUUCAUUUAAUACAACAUGUUGACUUUAAAAAUAAUAAAAAGAAGAAGAAGAAAAUGUAUUUUUUCCAGAAAAGUAUUUUUAGUUUUGUUACCUUUUCCACCUGCGGUAAACGUCGAUUCACACAUACAUGUCCAAACACACGUGUCCAUCCAUACGUACACAGUCCAGUUAACCUCCAGGGGUCUUUCUGUGUUGUGUAUAGAGGGACCUCCUUUAUAGAUCCCUUCUGUCUCCUUCCCCGAUGACGAGCUGUGCUGUUUGGAGAGAGGGCUCCACCUAGAGGCCAAGUGGAGGAAUGACCCCGGGAGUCAGAGGCAAGAGGACACAAACUGUACUCUCUCUCACCAAAGUGUCUCGGAUUGCAAAAUUCCCAGUAGCUCUCAAUGAUACUAUGUUAUGGGAGAGAACAAUAAACGAUGUAGACAGGAUUAGAUUAGACCAGGUUACCCUCCUCUGUUUUAUGGCUUAGAAUGUGCCUAACUGUAACUUAGAGACCCCAACUUCCUGUUUUAACGUUGACAUGUGAAAUGUGAUGCUAGGAGGAACGUUUUCCCGGACACAGAUUAAAGCCCACUUCGUCCUCCUUCUCCAUUGAACGUGUCUCGUAGUCCGGGAUUAUAGGCUUAAUCUGUGUUGGGGAAACGGGUCCUGUGACAACCGUGUAUGUGUGUGUUUUCCCCAUUUCCUGUCCUGUCCUCACAGACCGACUGCCUCUUCUUUAACUACUGAUCAGCUGUCUGUUUUUAGACCCGGAUCACUAGAUCAUCUCCCACUGUCGUCCAUUCAAAAGGUACAUCGAUUCCCUCAUUUACAUACCUAGUGGUGACCUGGUACACAGCCUCUUCCGCUGUGGGCUGCCUAUAACAUACAUACAUACAUACACACACACACACACUGGUGACCUGGUACACAGCCUCUUCCGCUGUGGGCUGCCUAUAACAUACAUACAUACAUACACAUACAUACA